rnacentral:lncRNA from 1 species
AAUCCACCACUUGCAGAAGAAGAUCACUGCAAACAAUGGCGGAGCUCAUCAACAACGAAACCCUUUCACUUGUACUCCUCGCCGUUUUCCUCAUCCUCUUCUACAUCUGGUCCUCAUCCACUUCCACUACCAGAAACUCACCACCUUCUCCACCAAAACUCCCCAUUAUCGGAAACCUCCACCAACUACUAGGCUCUCCCGGAACUCCACCUCAUCGCGCACUUCAAGCCUUAUCUAAACUCCACGGCCCUCUCAUGCUCCUCCACUUUGGAAGCUUCCCCGUCCUCGUCGUCUCCUCCGCCGAGGCAGCACGUGAGAUCAUGAAAACCCACGACCUUGCUUUCGCCAGCAGACCUAGGACCACCGCCUUCGAGAAGCUUCUUUACAACUACAAGGACGUGGCCGCGGCGCCUU